UAAGAGCCAUUCUCUGUAAGCAUCAAAACAUGUGGAAAACGACCGACACGGAUUUUGACGAAAUUUUACACAAAGUAUACAUACUUCAGUCCUUUAAUCAUGACACCUUUAAAAAUGGGCUUUGACUCGUGUUUCCAUGGCAACAAGACAUCCAAUUUUGUGAAAAAACGUGCCCCUCAGUAAAUAUUGAUUUUUUCUUUAUAAAAAUGUGUAUAUUCAUUUUUCAUUUAAUUUCCAUUGCUAUUUAAUUAAGAUAUGUUGUGUGUAAUUUUUAAAAAUAAAAUUAAUUUGCUGCAACACCUUAACAUGAAAUAUACGUACUCAAAUACCCUAAAAUCCCACUGAAAAUGGGAGAAAAUUGUUUCAAUAUUGUGCAAAAACACAACCACUGGUGGAUUGUUCUUACAUUGAUAAAUGUGUAUCGUAUCUACUAGAAUAACAUAUCAAAAAAUUAGAGAUGUCAUAUUUCAUUUAAGAAAAUAAAUUGAUUUUAAAAUUUGCACUAUUGCGAAAAUAUGCGAGUUUUUCCGAAAUUUAGAUCACCUCGACUCUUGACUGCAAUGCGUAUUCCAAGUAUAUUCAUGAUCAAGACAAGUUACGUCCCUUUUCUGAAGUGAAAGUAGAAAUUCGUGAGCGGUGAUUUGGAUAUUUUGAGCUGGUUUAAGUCUUUAAAUCAACUAGAAUUUUACAUUUGAUACUUAAGUGUUUGUCGGAGGCCGUUAUGCUCUCGAUGGGUAGCUUUCAAUGAUGAUGUAUCAGUGGAUUUACGCUGCGAUCGUGAUUACAACAGGGAGAACUUGUAUGCAAAAACUUCUGAGAAGAUUGGCCGAAAAAGAAACGCACAGGUGGCAUUGAAUGUGUCCAAUGCUGUUGUCAUAACAAUUCAGAUCCCUCUGACAGUCAGGGGGUGCAGAUUCAAGAUUGGAUGUUUUAAAUGAAAUUAAGACAGAACUAUUUUCUGUGAGGAAUGUAUAAGACUUGGUAUCAUCAUUAUGACAACACAGUUGUGGGUCAUUAAAAUUUAAGUGGAUCCAACAUGGCUGAAACUUGUUUAAAGAUUGUUCAACUGGAAUGUGUCCACUGAGAAAAUCACAGAGGCUGAAACUGUUGGAGGAUAUCUAACAACCUGUUUUUGAAUUUCUCAUCCCCUUUCAUGGAAGGAACUGUCCUCAACUGAACAAUGCAACUGUACAUGUCCAUAGUUUACAGAAAAAUACUGAUAUACAUUGUAUAUGCAAAAACAAAUAUAGUGUGUUAGUCAUUGUUUACAAACUCAUUUUUAGAUAAAGCUUGAACAUAUGA